GCUCAGUAACACGUGGAGAACGUGCCCUUAAGUGGGGGAUAAUCUCGGGAAAUUGAGGAUAAUACCCCAUAGAUCAUGGGAUCUGGAAUGACCCAUGGUUCAAAGUUCCGGCGCUUAAGGAUCGCUCUGCGGCCUAUCAGGUAGUAGUGGGUGUAAAGUACCCCCUAGCCUACGACGGGUAUGGGCCUUGAGAGAGGGAGCCCAGAGUUGGAUUCUGAGACACGAAUCCAGGCCCUACGGGGCGCAGCAGUCGCGAAAACUUCACACUGGGGGCAACCCCGAUGAGGGAAAUCCUAGUGCUAGGACAUUUGUUCUAGCUUUUCUCAAGCGUAGAUAACUUGAGGAAUAAGGGCUGGGUAAGACGGGUGCCAGCCGCCGCGGUAAUACCUGCAGCCCAAGUGGUGGUCGAUUUUAUUGAGUCUAAAACGUUCGUAGCCGGUUUGGUAAAUCUUUGGGUAAAUCGGGAGGCUCAACUUUCCGACUUCCGAAGAGACUGUCAAACUUGGGACCGGGAGAGGCUAGAGGUACUUCUGGGGUAGGGGUAAAAUCCUGUAAUCCUAGAAGGACCACCGGUGGCGAAGGCGUCUAGCUAGAACGGAUCCGACGGUGAGGGACGAAGCCCUGGGUCGCAAACGGGAUUAGAUACCCCGGUAGUCCAGGGUGUAAACGCUGCCGACUUGGUGUUGGAGGCCCUUCGGGGGCAUUCAGUGCCGGAGAGAAGUUGUUAAGUCGGCUACUUGGGGAGUACGUCCGCAAGGAUGAAACUUAAAGGAAUUGGCGGGGGAGCAC
rnacentral:rRNA from 1 species